ensembl:lncRNA
CUCUUUCUCACUAAUGUUUAAUCUGUCUCAAUAGUGUUCACUCUGCCUCAAUAGUGUUCACUCUGUUUUACUAGUGUUCCCUCUGUCCCACUAGUGUUCGCUCUGCCUCACUAUUUUUACCGUUGUCUCAAUAGUGUUCACUCUGCCUCACUAGGGUUCACUCUGUCUCACUAGUGUUCACUCUGCCUCACUCUGCCUCGCUAGUGUCACUCUGUCUCACCAUUGUUCACUCUGUCUCACUAGUAUUCACUCUGCCUCACUAGUGUUCACUCUGUCUCACUAGUGUUCAGUCUGCCUCACUAGUUUUCACUCUGUCUCACUAAUCUUCUGGUGUCGGUAUUGUUCACUCUGUCUAACUAGUGUUCUGGUGUCGUUUGUGUUCGCAGUCAGAGUUGAUGAACUUGUCUAGUGUAAACAUUGUUAUUGUCUCUUGAGAGUUGAGUCAAAAAACAUUGUUAUUGACUGAACUCUCUAACAUCGGACGAUGUUACAGAGCUGUUUCAGAGAGCCACACAACAGGCAUAUGUAUGCGUGUGGUUGUUUUUCACUCUGUCUCACUAAUCUUCUGGUGUCGGUAUUGUUCACUCUGUCUCACUAGUGUUCUGGUGUCGUUUGUGUUCGCAGUCAGAGUUGAUGAACUUGUCUAGUGUAAACAUUGUUAUUGUCUCUUGAGAGUUGAGUCAAAAAACAUUGUUAUUGACUGAACUCUCUAACAUCGGACGAUGUUACAGAGCUGUUUCAGAGAGCCACACAACAGGCAUAUGUAUGCGUGUGGUUCUGUGCGUGUAGAUGUGUGCGUGUAGAUGUGUGUGUGUAGAUGUGUGCGUGUGCAUGUGUGGGUGCGCGUGAAAGUGUGCAUGUGUGCGUGUGCGCUUGUACAUGUGCAUAUGCGUUGGGUGUCAGAGGCCUUUCAUCACCUUUGGAGUGGAAGGUUUAUCACCGUGGAAACGAAGCAGCUUACACGUCUGACAUCCAUGUUCUCACCACUAGAAAAACAGAAAAAAGUCUGCUGUUGUCAUCCUGCAGUUUGAAGGCUGCCUCUGUUCGACAGCUGGUUGUUUACCGUGAAAACAUUUUAAAGACGGUUUGAUUCGUUUUUCAGCCGCCGCUAUGACCGGUGUGGCUCCUAACCCUAGGUCACAAGACUGCCUGUCCUCUGACCUUGAAGCUAGCUCUAGUUCGCCAAUGGCUUCUUGUUUGGACACAGACUAAAUCCUCCUCUAGCUCC